rnacentral:rRNA from 1 species
UUCGGGGUACACGAGUGGCGAACGGGUGAGUAACACGUGGGUAAUCUGCCCUGCACAUCGGGAUAAGCCUGGGAAACUGGGUCUAAUACCGAAUAGGACCACAGAACACAUGUCCUGUGGUGGAAAGCUUUUGCGGUGUGGGAUGGGCCCGCGGCCUAUCAGCUUGUUGGUGGGGUGAUGGCCUACCAAGGCGACGACGGGUAGCCGGCCUGAGAGGGUGUCCGGCCACACUGGGACUGAGAUACGGCCCAGACUCCUACGGGAGGCAGCAGUGGGGAAUAUUGCACAAUGGGCGAAAGCCUGAUGCAGCGACGCCGCGUGGGGGAUGACGGCCUUUCGGGUUGUAAACCUCUUUCACCAUCGACGAAGGUCCGGGUUUUCUCGGGCUGACGGUAGGUGGAGAAGAAGCACCGGCCAACUACGUGCCAGCAGCCGCGGUAAUACGUAGGGUGCGAGCGUUGUCCGGAAUUACUGGGCGUAAAGAGCUCGUAGGUGGUUUGUCGCGUUGUUCGUGAAAUCUCACGGCUUAACUGUGAGCGUGCGGGCGAUACGGGCAGACUUGAGUACUGCAGGGGAGACUGGAAUUCCUGGUGUAGCGGUGGAAUGCGCAGAUAUCAGGAGGAACACCGGUGGCGAAGGCGGGUCUCUGGGCAGUAACUGACGCUGAGGAGCGAAAGCGUGGGGAGCGAACAGGAUUAGAUACCCUGGUAGUCCACGCCGUAAACGGUGGGUACUAGGUGUGGGUUUCCUUCCUUGGGAUCCGUGCCGUAGCUAACGCAUUAAGUACCCCGCCUGGGGAGUACGGCCGCAAGGCUAAAACUCAAAGAAAUUGACGGGGGCCCGCACAAGCGGCGGAGCAUGUGGAUUAAUUCGAUGCAACGCGAAGAACCUUACCUGGGUUUGACAUGCACAGGACGCCGGCAGAGAUGUCGGUUCCCUUGUGGCCUGUGUGCAGGUGGUGCAUGGCUGUCGUCAGCUCGUGUCGUGAGAUGUUGGGUUAAGUCCCGCAACGAGCGCAACCCUUGUCUCAUGUUGCCAGCGGGUAAUGCCGGGGACUCGUGAGAGACUGCCGGGGUCAACUCGGAGGAAGGUGGGGAUGACGUCAAGUCAUCAUGCCCCUUAUGUCCAGGGCUUCACACAUGCUACAAUGGCCGGUACAAAGGGCUGCGAUGCCGCAAGGUUAAGCGAAUCCUUUUAAAGCCGGUCUCAGUUCGGAUCGGGGUCUGCAACUCGACCCCGUGAAGUCGGAGUCGCUAGUAAUCGCAGAUCAGCAACGCUGCGGUGAAUACGUUCCCGGGCCUUGUACACACCGCCCGUCACGUCAUGAAAGUCGGUAACACCCGAAGC